CUUUUGCUUGCGUUAGGGAUAGUAGCGAAAAGCCCACAGUCUCGUCUUUUGGGACGAGACGAGGACUUGUAGCGGAUAGCCCGACCCAUU
rnacentral:misc_RNA from 1 species